UCGGCGAGACAUGCAGGCUGGGAGCGCCGGAGGAGCCCCUCUUCGUGCGCGGCGAUGUUGGCGAGCGGGGCUGCGCGGGGGGAGCCUGGCGACAAAGUAAACCUGCGACUCAGUCUGCCUUCUUCAUCUCUCUGGUGCCUUGAAAACCUGAAUGCCCAGGAAGGGGGGAUACACCCUCCUGGAAGGAGAAGAGUUGGAAGGAAUCCUGACUGAGAGACAACCCUUGGCUGAUGAUGAAGACACAACUGCUUCAUGGAGACUGAAGUUUGGCUUUUAUUGGAAAUGGUAAGCUGCUGUGCGGAAGAAGUUCCUCGAAAAGAAAAUGGAAAUGGACUGCCUUCAAGUCGAUCCUGACCUAUGGCGACCCUAUGAAUAGGGUUUUCAUGUUAAGCGGUAUUCAGAGGUGGUUUACCAUUUCCUUCCUCGAAAAGUGAGGAAGGACCAGCCAUCAAGUAGUCUGCAGGAUCCACAACUACAAAAAGGAGUCUGUGGCAGAAUAGUCCCUGACAACAAAAGGAAUCCAGGAGCACAAACAAAUGAUGAAGCACCGAAAUCACCUUUAAAACAAAACCUCUUCUUAAGAAAACAAGGACAGAAGGCUAUAGCCAUCAUGACUUGUAGCCCUUGAGAGCCUUCUCUUCCAUGCAUCUAUCCAGCUUCCUUUUUCAAGCCAUCCGAGAUGAUCACUAGGAGAACUCACUGCCUGAUGGGCGACUCUCCCCUGGAUGACAUUACUCAGGAACAGAAAAAUGCUUCCAUUCCCAGACCAAAAGAGGUUCCACAGUACAGAUAAGCACUAACCUGCUGAGGUCUCCUCCUCUUCUUUGACGACCUGGAUAAACAGACUUUCUCCUUCUUCCUUACAGGAAGCGAGGUCUUGUUCUUUCAAGGAAACAGACAAGAGAACUUAUUUUUAACCACAACAUAAAAAGUCAGGGAUUCCAUAUCAAACCAGUUCUACAACCUCUAAGCUAAGAGGAGGAAGAAUUUUGAUUUUUAAUUCUGGGAGCGGGACAGGGAGAACCCCAUUUAGAAUCGAGGUAAAAGGGUGAGAACCCUUGCCACUGUGGAAGCAAAUUACCCCAAUAAAUGUUGCACCCAUUCAGAAGUAAGCCCCAAUGAGUCCAAUGGGACACCCUCCCUGGUAAAUGCAGAUUAAAUUAUACCAGGUGUGGGGAUCCUGUGGCCCACCAGAUGUUGCUGAACUCCCAUCACCCCAAUCAUUGGUCGUCCUUGCAGGAGCUGAUGGAAAUUGCAGUUCACCAACAUCUGGAGGGCCAAAGGUUCCCCUCCUCUUUUUAGGGGGUCAUCAUAUUAUUUUAUAUUAAAGGGCUGGGGCCAAGGGGGAGGAGGGGUGCGGUCUGAGGAGGAAAGGGAGGGAAUAAGGGCCUCAUUGAUACCCUGUCCCCAAGACCCCCCAAAAAAGCCUGGAGCCAGCCCGGCCCAUAGGGGCCAACUAGACACACAUGGGAGGCCCUCAAGCCAGAGAGAAAGGCAAGAGUGCAUCUCCUGCUGCUGUCCCCGACUCCGGAGGUGGCCCAUAAACAUCAGGACUGGGGCCCUUGAGAGCCUUCUUUUCCAUUUAUUUAUUUAGAUUUAUAUCCCACCCUUCUUCCCACUAGGAGCCCACAGUGGCAAACAAAACACUCAAAACAUUCUGAAACACAUAAUUAAAAACAGGGUUUAAAAUAUAUUAAAACAAAAACAUCUUAAAAAGUAAUUCCAACAUACACAGACUGGGCAUGAAGCCAUUUUUCUUAGCCCCUUUUAAAACAAUCCCAGAAAUCCACCAGGAGAACUCACAGCCUGAUGGGUGACUCUCCCCUGGAUGAUAUUACUCAGGAAUGGAAAAACGCUUCCAUUCCCAGACCAAAAGAGGCUCCGCAGCACAGCUAAGCACAGACCUGCUGAGGUCUCCUCCUCUUCUUUGGCGACCUGGAUAAACAGACUUUCUCCUUCUUCUUCUCCAUCUUCCAAACAGGAAUUGAGCUCCGAUUCUUCCAAGGAAACAGACCGGACUAUUACUUUUGACCACAAGAUAUUCAGCCAUUCCAAGUCAAGCCAUUUGUAGCUAAGAGGAGGGAUUGUUUGUUAACUCCUGCACCCCUUGAAGAGGAGAGGGCCGUGUGGUCCCAGCAGGGUCAGCCUGGCACUUGGGAACAUGCGCUCACUGGAUAUGAUGCCCAACCUGAACUGCCUGAUGGGGAGGGCACGGUGGAACUCAGCCAGCCCAGCUGUUUUCAUUUGGACAACAUCAUCUCGUCACAAAGAGAGUGAAAACCAGCCCUGACAGCUUCGCCCUCCUCCUCCUCCUCCUCCCAAAAGGAGUCAGGGCUGCGCUUCACAUUUACACUUCUGGAGGAAACCUUUCUCCAUGGAGAUUAAGAGUGAAGCCACCGCAAGAUAUUUGUGUAGCCAGGAAUGCUCCCAUAAGCUUUUCAGUGUCAUAGGUUGAGAAUGUACAUGCAAAUAUCAAUGCUGGCAUCGGGAAGAGACAGAAAAGGGCCAGAGUAUAUGGUUUCGAUCUCUGAAAGGGAAAUGAUGGUGUGUUGCGUAUAAAUAAAUGCUCCCUUCCUAAAUGCA